rnacentral:rRNA from 1 species
CCUAGGGGCGGCAGCAGUGGGGAAUAUUGGACAAUGGGCGAAAGCCUGAUCCAGCCAUGCCGCGUGUGUGAAGAAGGCCUUCGGGUUGUAAAGCACUUUCAGUGGGGAAGAAAGCCUUGGGGCUAAUACCCUCGAGGAAGGACAUCACCCACAGAAGAAGCACCGGCUAACUCCGUGCCAGCAGCCGCGGUAAUACGGAGGGUGCGAGCGUUAAUCGGAAUUACUGGGCGUAAAGCGCGCGUAGGCGGUCUGAUAAGCCGGUUGUGAAAGCCCCGGGCUCAACCUGGGAACGGCAUCCGGAACUGUCAGGCUAGAGUGCAGGAGAGGAAGGUAGAAUUCCCGGUGUAGCGGUGAAAUGCGUAGAGAUCGGGAGGAAUACCAGUGGCGAAGGCGGCCUUCUGGACUGACACUGACGCUGAGGUGCGAAAGCGUGGGUAGCAAACAGGAUUAGAUACCCGUGUAGUC